CUUGAUCUUUCCCUUCCUGCUGUCAUGCAAUAUUUAUUGGGAAUUAAGGCAUCUUUGCCUGACGCCUAGCGUGCUCGCUAAUAUGGGGAUUCUGACGUGAUGGGAGAAGGUUUUCCUAUCUUAUACAGGUGGUCAGCGAGCUUAGGGUACGCCUCAAGUUUUAGGAGCUGCCCAUCUUCAUUUGUAAAAAUGUUUACAAAAGCCAUAUGUCGAUCCAGUAAAUAAAAAUAAAUUUAACCUGAACUUUAUGCUGGAUUUUAACGGAUUGGAAUGCGGUACAGUUUCCAAAUGUUGGCACUAAUGACGAUUUCCAUGUUAUGAACACUGGAAGAGGAACC